rnacentral:piRNA from 1 species
UUAUAUGAGAUGUAGGGGAAUUAAGGA